UACGAAGGGGGCUAGCGUUGUCCGGAAUCACUGGGCGUAAAGGGCGCGUAGGCGGCUCAUGAAGGCUGUGGUGAAAGUCCGGGGCUCAACCUCGGAUCGGCCGUGGCGACUCGUGGGCUGGAGCACUGUAGAGGCGGGUGGAAUUCCGGGUGUAGCGGUGGAAUGCGUAGAGAUCCGGAAGAACACCAGUGGCGAAGGCGGCCCGCUGGGCAGUGGCUGACGCUGAGGCGCGACAGCGUGGGGAGCAAACAGG
rnacentral:rRNA from 1 species